rnacentral:piRNA from 1 species
UGCCACCUUCGGCAUGGAGCCUGUUGUAA